UCUCCGUUGGUGAACCAGCGGAGGGAUCAUUACAGGAUCGAAAGACUCCUAUAACCCCUGUGAACCUACUACAAAUACGUUGCUUCGGCGGGUGCCCCGGGUCUCCCGGGGCGUUCAGCCCGCCGGCAGCCUUCAAAUUCUGUUUCUUUGCGUUGGCAUCUCGAGUAUACAAAAAUAAGUUAAAACUUUCAACAACGGAUCUCUUGGUUCUG
rnacentral:misc_RNA from 1 species